GGGUGGCUGCGGGGUCGUGGGAGCGGUAAUACGGGGGGGGGGAUGGUUUGCCGGAUUUAGUGGGCGUGAAGAUGGUGUAGGGGGGGUUGUAGGUCCGCGGUGAAAACUGGAGGCGCAAGCUCGGGACGCCGGUGGAAACCAUCAGGCUAGAGUCCGGAAGAGGAGAGUGGAAUUCCUGGUGUAGCGGUGAAAUGCGCAGAUAUCAGGAAGAACACCCGUGGCUAAGGCGGCUCUCUAGUACGGUACUGACGCUGAGACGCGAAAGCGUGGGGAGCGAACAGGAUUAGAUACCCGAGUAGC
rnacentral:rRNA from 1 species